UGACUCUCAAACUUGCAUGAAAUACACAAAUUUAAAAAAUUAGUGACUUUUAUGGUUGUAAUCCAAGAUAGGUUGACGUAGUCCAACAAGGUGAUAAUUUUAUUUGAUAUAGACUAUUCAAUAUUAAAAAAAAUUGUAAUCAUAUUGAAGGCGGAAUUUGAGGUUUAGAUGUAAUGGGUUAAAAGGAUAGGCAUAGUCAUUACUUUUGAUGUUUGAUCAUAACAAACUUUGGAUAACUAAAAUCCUUACUUAUCCAAAAAAAUAAUAUGCAACCAAAAAGAAAUGAAAAUGUAUUGAAAGGGUAGAUUUUUUGUUUAAUUUUUUGAACUGUAAAUUAUUAAACUUUUGAUGUUUAGAAUGAUUUUUCUCUUAACAAUUUAGUUAUUAUUAUUUUUUAA
rnacentral:lncRNA from 1 species